rnacentral:rRNA from 1 species
CCUACGGGCGGCAGCAGUGGGGAAUAUUGCACAAUGGGCGCAAGCCUGCUGCAGCCAUGCCGCGUGUGUGAAGAAGGCCUUCGGGUUGUAAAGCACUUUCAACGGGGAGGAAGGCGUUAAGGUUAAUAACCUUGGCGAUUGACGUUACCCGCAGAAGAAGCACCGGCUAACUCCGUGCCAGCAGCCGCGGUAAUACGGAGGGUGCAAGCGUUAAUCGGAAUUACUGGGCGUAAAGCGCACGCAGGCGGUCUGUCAAGUCGGAUGUGAAAUCCCCGGGCUCAACCUGGGAACUGCAUUCGAAACUGGCAGGCUAGAGUCUUGUAGAGGGGGGUAGAAUUCCAGGUGUAGCGGUGAAAUGCGUAGAGAUCUGGAGGAAUACCGGUGGCGAAGGCGGCCCCCUGGACAAAGACUGACGCUCAGGUGCGAAAGCGUGGGGAGCAAACGGGAUUAGAUGCCCGAGUAGUC